UACGUAGGUGACCAGCGUUGUCCGGAUUUACUGGGCGUAAAGAGCGCGCAGGCGGUCGUUCAAGUCGAGUGUGAAAGCCCCCGGCUCAACUGGGGAGGGUCAUUCGAUACUGAUCGACUGGAAGGCAGGAGAGGGAAGCGGAAUUCCCGGUGUAGUGGUGAAAUGCGUAGAUAUCGGGAGGAACACCAGUGGCGAAGGCGGCUUCCUGGCCUGUUCUUGACGCUGAGGCGCGAAAGCUAGAGGAGCAAACGGG
rnacentral:rRNA from 1 species